GACGAACGCUGGCGGCGUGCUUAACACAUGCAAGUCGAACGGAAAGGCCCUGCUUUUGUGGGGUGCUCGAGUGGCGAACGGGUGAGUAUCACGUGAGUAACCUGCCCUUGACUUUGGGAUAACUUCAGGAAACUGGGGCUAAUAUCGGAUAUGAGCUCCUGCUGCAUGGUGGGGGUUGGAAAGUUUCGGCGGUUGGGGAUGGACUCGCGGCUUAUCAGCUUGUUGGUGGGGUAGUGGCUUACCAAGGCUUUGACGGGUAGCCGGCCUGAGAGGGUGACCGGCCACAUUGGGACUGAGAUACGGCCCAGACUCCUACGGGGGGCAGCAGUGGGGAAUAGUGCACAAUGGGCGGAAUGCUGAUGGAGCAACGCCGCGUGCGGGAUGACGGCCUUCAGGUUGUAAACCGCUUUCGCCUGUGACGAAGCGUGAGUGACGGUAAUGGGUAAAGAAGCAACGGCUAACUACGUG
rnacentral:rRNA from 1 species